CUUUUCGUUUGGUUUUGUUGAACUUAACUAUUCUCAAACCCUGACUGCAACCUACUUGGUUGACUGGGGUAAUGGAUGGUCAUAGGAGGUGUCAAGAUUGAAGCAUGCUUGUCAAGCAGCAUAAUGAAGAUGUAAUGGAGUACGAAAGAAGAAAAGAAGAGCGACAACAUAAGUGUACAGGAUGUUCAUAGUUGACAGUAUACUCGGUAAGAAGUAACCUGAUCACCAGGUGACCUACAAAUAAAUGAGCACAGCAGAAAUACAAAGUGUUUAAAUACUUACAUGUUCAUACAUUUCAUGUGCAGAUCUAUGAAAUAAAUUGUAAAGUCUGGAAGAAACUUG